UACGAAGGGGGCUAGCGUUGUUCGGAUUUACUGGGCGUAAAGCGCACGUAGGCGGAUUGCUAAGUCAGGGGUGAAAUCCUGGAGCUCAACUCCAGAACUGCCCUUGAUACUGGCGGUCUCGAGUCCGGGAGAGGUGAGUGGAACUGCGAGUGUAGAGGUGAAAUUCGUAGAUAUUCGCAAGAACACCAGUGGCGAAGGCGGCUCACUGGCCCGGUACUGACGCUGAGGUGCGAAAGCGUGGGGAGCAAACAGG
rnacentral:rRNA from 1 species